AGUGGAAUUGCUGUGUCAAUGGUCAUGAAAUAUGCGGACAACAUCGUGAAGGUUUAUGCUACAUCAGUUGCAAUGCUGCUAACAGCAAUUGUGUCUGUAUUUUUAUUUGGAUUUCAUCUCUCCCUUGCAUUCUUUCUUGGUUCCAUUGUUGUUUCUGUCUCAGUAUAUUUGCAUUCUGUUGGGAAGGUCCAGCGGCAGCAAUGAUUUUUCACCUUCUCGGUCUAUUAUUUUGAGCUCUUGUUUAGGAGCUAACGCAUUUUUUUUUUUUUUAGUUAUUUAGUUACCGAUCAGAUAAUCAGAUAGCAUCCA